CCGGUUGAGGCGAUUGUUCCCGGUAAUUAUCCUCGUAUCGUUGCAACAAUGACGUUUUGCGACUGUGUUCCCAUUUUGAAGUCAUCUGGCUGCGUCGAUGAACGCCCUCUUGUCCUCAGUCAUGUUCAAUACCCCCGAUGUUACCGGUAAUUGCAAGAAGACAGUGCGGCUUCGACAAGACGGCCAUGCAAGGCCGUUCAGCAAGUUCAGCGGCGGCGGACCGCCAUGUGCUCCGUGUUCGGCCCCAGCGCUGCAUCUUGUACAGCGGCGAACCAGUGUCGAGUCGGAUUAAAGUGGGAGAGGUCCUCACUAAUAACAAUGCCACCAAAGAAAGUGGAACCCUCGGCUCUCCAAUGCUACUAUGAAGUGGACCAAAGCACCGGUACGACGAUUGCAUAUAGGUCCAGGAGUCAUCAGGACAAAUACCUCUGAAAAUAUACGAAGGAUAUCUCGUGUUUUUGUGAUGAUGAAGCAAUUAUGUCAAAAUUAAAUCCGUAUUUGAAAAGGCUUUUUUCUUCAUUCCUAUUGGCAGUGUAUACAUAUAAACUUCCCUUGCUUCCCUCUGCGUUCACCGAAACACUACUCCGUAGGACAAGGUUUGUUAUGUUGCUUGGCUCCCAGUUCAAAUGCGUACAUUUUCUUG